rnacentral:rRNA from 1 species
UACAGAGGGUGCGAGCGUUGUUCGGAAUUACUGGGCGUAAAGCGUGCGUAGACGGUUAUCUAAGUCGGAUGUGAAAGCCCCGGGCUCAACCUGGGAAUUGCAUUCGAGACUGAAUAGCUAGGGUACGGUAGAGGGAAGUGGAAUUUCCGGUGUAGCGGUGAAAUGCGUAGAUAUCGGAAGGAACAUCAGUGGCGAAAGCGACUUCCUGGACCAGUACCGACGUUCAGGCACGAAAGCGUGGGGAGCAAACAGG